ensembl:snRNA U6 U6 spliceosomal RNA
AUGCUUUGUCGGUACAUAUACUAUGAUCGGAAUGAUGCGGAGAAAAUUAGCAUGACCCCUGCACAAUGAUAACAAGCAAACUCAUGAAAGAUUUUACAUCUUC